rnacentral:rRNA from 1 species
UACGUAGGGCGCAAGCGUUAUCCGGAAUUAUUGGGCGUAAAGAGCUCGUAGGCGGUUUGUCGCGUCUGCCGUGAAAGUCCGGGGGCUCAACUCCGGAUCUGCGGUGGGUACGGGGCAGACUAGAGUGAUGUAGGGGGAGACUGGAAUUCCUGGUGUAGCGGUGAAAAUGCGCAGAUAUCAGGAGGAACACCGGUGGCGAAGGCGGUUCUCUGGGCAUUACCUGACGCUGAGGAGCGAAAAGUGUGGGGGAGCGAAACAGG